rnacentral:rRNA from 1 species
UAAAAAAUUUUGGCGGUAUUUUAAGCUUAUUAGAGGAAUUUGCUCUGUGAUGGACACAACGCCUUAAUCUUACUUAAUUUAGUAAUUUAAAUCAGUUUGUAUACCACUAUAUUAAUUAUAUUGAAUAGUUAUAUUUAAAAUUUUUUUAAAAAAAAUAUAUUAAGUCAAGGUGCAUCUAAUAAUUAUGAAUGAAGUGAAUUACAUUAAUUUUAAUGUAAUUUUUUACAUGAAAAAAUUAAUUAGGAUUUAAUAGUAAAAUACUAAUAUUAUGAGUAUUUGAAUCAAGCUCUAAAAUAUGCACAUAUCGCCCGUCGCUCUCAGAAGUGAGAUAAGUCGUAACAAAGUAAAAAUACUGGAAAGUGUUUUUUAAAAUGAAAUCAUUCGAUGUUUCAUUUACAAUGAAAAUUUUGUUGUUUAACCAUUUUAA